UCGCUGACAUUAUUUUGAAAUAUGUCCGGAAGUGAAGCUGCGCGUGAUCUUGCAUUGUUAUUGAAUUCGUUGAGUUUGUAAAAACAGUAAUUUUUCCGUCAUCAUAGAUUCACUAAUUAAAGUUUCGGUUGUUGCGAAUGUGUACGGAUACGCGCACAGGCUCGUGAUCGAUAUUCAUCUUUGACAGUUUGUUGUUGUCCUCAGUCGAUCAACAGGAUGUUGUGCGAGCUGCUUCUCUCUUCUAUCUGGCUUCUCUUUGUGAUCUUCUGGUUGGAGACCAUCAGUGUUUGGCUCUUCGUGUGUCUCUACUAUCAGGACAGAGUUUUCUAUCACUGGGGUUCUGGGGAUUUGUCAGAUGAGCCCGGUCUCUUCCUCUAUGUGCUGAACAGGUGAUCUUCAGUUCUUAUAAGAACAGUAGGGUUUUAUAUGAAUGCCCUGGCUCAAAUUCAGAUUAGAUCUUACUUCAUCUACUUCAGUCCUCUUUAAGACACCUAAACCCUUUUUGGACCAAGAGGUAAACCAAAUGAAAAACGACUGGGUCCGUUUUUUUUACCUUUGAUGUUUUAUGUUCUGGCACAGAGUUGAUUUCUCUACACAAACAUGAGCAUGUGAAGGCAUCAAGUGGAAGUAUUAGACUGAAACUGAAGCAAGAAGAUGUCCAUGAAUCAAAGGGUCAGAGGUCAUAGUGAUGUCACUUUUCUGAAACCCUUGUGGAGCAAGAGCUGAACCGUCUGAGAGUGUGUAAACUGCCUUUAAAUGGAUUUAACUCAGCUAUAUUCAGCUGUUUUAUUUGAAUCUUUUUCAAGACUGAUAAUGUUUCUACACAACAUAUUUGACAAACAUUGUUUCACUUUGGAACAUAAUUUGUAUUUUUAAGGCAACAUAAUGAAAAAGAGUUCAACUUCAUUCAUAAGAUGAUUGAUUUCUAAACACCAUCAGUCAUGAUCUUACUGAUGUGUGCUGUUUAAAAGACUAUAAGAUUGGCAGAUGGCCUUUUUUCUAAAUAUGUUUUACUAUUUUUGUACUUUUUCUGUUAUUUUCCAAUAAAUAAAUAAAGCUGGUGA